rnacentral:misc_RNA from 1 species
AACGCACGAGACCUGCGGACCUGCGGAGGGAUCAUUACUGAGUUUCACAACUCUCUAACCCUGUGUGAACUGAAGUCUGGUUGCUCAGGCAGGCGGCCCCCGGGGGGAGCCGCAGCUUCUCUGAAGCGCCUGCCGGAGGAUACCUAAACUCGUUUUAACAUAUAAUCUUCUGAGUAAUAAAAAAAAAAUGAAUCAAAACUUUCAACAAUGGAUCUCU